rnacentral:tRNA from 1 species
GGCGCUGUCGUCUAGUCCGGUCUAGGACACCAGGUUCUCAUCCUGGAGAUCGCGGGUUCAAAUCCCGCCGGCGCUA